CCCUACGGGGUGCACCAGGCGCGAAACCUCUGCAAUAGGCGAAAGCUUGACAGGGUUACUCUGAGUGAUGCCCGCUAAGGGCAUCUUUUGGCACCUUUAAAAAUGGUGCAGAAUAAGGGGUGGGCAAGUCUGGUGUCAGCAGCCGCGGUAA
rnacentral:rRNA from 1 species